AAACAAAAACAAUCAAAAACCAUCACGACGCCUGUUUUCCAUAUACACACAACAAUCAUAACGAAUAUAAGAAUUUCGCAUUUCGUACAGGUAAGGUAGCACAAAACAAUAGUUGAUUUCAAUCACGACCGAGGGUCACAGCUCCGGCAGCUCAAAUGAGUGCGUUCAGUCAAAGAAAACUCGUGAGUGUGCGGACCGUGUCUUGUUGUGUUUACAAAACCAGGAAUGCUUUCUCUCUCCACCCGUUUCAUCGUCUUAUCGCAUCAACAUUUUUACCGUUGCACAGACAGAAGAAGAAAACAACAACCGGGAAUGUCACGACAAACAGGUUAAACAUAGAAAAGCAAGUCAAACAAACGUACCGCCGCUGGAUGGACAUCAAAAUACUCUUUUCGUUGGGGAAGACGACUAGAAUUUCCAUGCAACCCUCCAGGAAGUCGACGGGUGUGUCUUCCGUCACCUGGAACUGCUGGUGAGAAGAAGACGACAUAAUUGGUGAAGAGGUCAUCGGCGGCGG